UAGCUUCCUCCCUCAUCUGAUUCCAAACAUACUACCGGUAAAAACAUAGGUUAUAGCUUCCUCCCUCAUCUGAUUACCAAACAUACUACCGGUAAAAACAUAGGUUAUAGCUUCCUCCCUCAUCUGAUUCCAAACAUACUACCGGUAAAAACAUAGGUUAUAGCUUCCUCCCUCAUCUGAUUCCAAACAUACUACCGGUAAAAACAUAGGUUAUAGCUUCCUCCCUCAUCUGAUUACCAAACAUACUACCGGUAAAAACAUAGGUUAUAGCUUCCUCCCUCAUCUGAUUCCAAACAUACUACCGGUAAAAACAUAGGUUAUAGCUUCCUCCCUCAUCUGAUUACCAAACAUACUACCGGUAAAAACAUAGGUUAUAGCUUCCUCCCUCAUCUGAUUCCAAACAUACUACCGGUAAAAACAUAGGUUAUAGCUUCCUCCCUCAUCUGAUUCCAAACAUACUACCGGUAAAAACAUAGGUUAUAGCUUCCUCCCUCAUCUGAUUACCAAACAUACUACCGGUAAAAACAUAGGUUAUAGCUUCCUCCCUCAUCUGAUUACCAAACAUACUACCGGUAAAAACAUAGGUUAUAGCUUCCUCC